GGGUUGUGAGGUUAAGCGACUAAGCGUACACGGUGGAUGCCCUGGCAGUCAGAGGCGAUGAAGGGCGUGCUAAUCUGCGAUAAGCGCCGGUAAGGUGAUAUGAACCGUUAUAACCGGCGAUACCCGAAUGGGGAAACCCAGUGUGAUUCGUCACACUAUCAUUAACUGAAUCCAUAGGUUAAUGAGGCGAACCGGGGGAACUGAAACAUCUAAGUACCCCGAGGAAAAGAAAUCAACCGAGAUUCCCCCAGUAGCGGCGAGCGAACGGGGAGGAGCCCAGAGCCUGAAUCAGCAUGUGUGUUAGUGGAAGCGUCUGGAAAGGCGCGCGAUACAGGGUGACAGCCCCGUACACAAAAGCGCAUGUGCUGUGAGCUCGAUGAGUAGGGCGGGACACGUGGUAUCCUGUCUGAAUAUGGGGGGACCAUCCUCCAAGGCUAAAUACUCCUGACUGACCGAUAGUGAACCAGUACCGUGAGGGAAAGGCGAAAAGAACCCCGGCGAGGGGAGUGAAAAAGAACCUGAAACCGUGUACGUACAAGCAGUGGGAGCNNGGGCGUUAAGUUGCAGGGUAUAGACCCGAAACCCGGUGAUCUAGCCAUGGGCAGGUUGAAGGUUGGGUAACACUAACUGGAGGACCGAACCGACUAAUGUUGAAAAAUUAGCGGAUGACCUGUGGCUGGGGGUGAAAGGCCAAUCAAACCGGGAGAUAGCUGGUUCUCCCCGAAAGCUAUUUAGGUAGCGCCUCGUGAAUUCAUCUCCGGGGGUAGAGCACUGUUUCGGCUAGGGGGCCAUCCCGGCUUACCAACCCGAUGCAAACUGCGAAUACCGGAGAAUGUUAUCACGGGAGACACACGGCGGGUGCUAACGUCCGUCGUGAAGAGGGAAACAACCCAGACCGCCAGCUAAGGUCCCAAAGUCAUGGUUAAGUGGGAAACGAUGUGGGAAGGCCCAGACAGCCAGGAUGUUGGCUUAGAAGCAGCCAUCAUUUAAAGAAAGCGUAAUAGCUCACUGGUCGAGUCGGCCUGCGCGGAAGAUGUAACGGGGCUAAACCAUGCACCGAAGCUGCGGCAGCGANNUGCUGGAGGUAUCAGAAGUGCGAAUGCUGACAUAAGUAACGAUAAAGCGGGUGAAAAGCCCGCUCGCCGGAAGACCAAGGGUUCCUGUCCAACGUUAAUCGGGGCAGGGUGAGUCGACCCCUAAGGCGAGGCCGAAAGGCGUAGUCGAUGGGAAACGGGUUAAUAUUCCCGUACUUGGUGUUACUGCGAAGGGGGGACGGAGAAGGCUAUGUUGGCCGGGCGACGGUUGUCCCGGUUUAAGCGUGUAGGUGUGUGUUCCAGGUAAAUCCGGUUCACUUUAACACUGAGGCGUGACGACGAGGCACUACGGUGCUGAAGCAACAAAUGCCCUGCUUCCAGGAAAAGCCUCUAAGCAUCAGGUAACAUCAAAUCGUACCCCAAACCGACACAGGUGGUCAGGUAGAGAAUACCAAGGCGCUUGAGAGAACUCGGGUGAAGGAACUAGGCAAAAUGGUGCCGUAACUUCGGGAGAAGGCACGCUGACACGUAGGUGAAGUGAUUUACUCAUGGAGCUGAAGUCAGUCGAAGAUACCAGCUGGCUGCAACUGUUUAUUAAAAACACAGCACUGUGCAAACACGAAAGUGGACGUAUACGGUGUGACGCCUGCCCGGUGCCGGAAGGUUAAUUGAUGGGGUCAGCGCAAGCGAAGCUCCUGAUCGAAGCCCCGGUAAACGGCGGCCGUAACUAUAACGGUCCUAAGGUAGCGAAAUUCCUUGUCGGGUAAGUUCCGACCUGCACGAAUGGCGUAAUGAUGGCCAGGCUGUCUCCACCCGAGACUCAGUGAAAUUGAACUCGCUGUGAAGAUGCAGUGUACCCGCGGCAAGACGGAAAGACCCCGUGAACCUUUACUAUAGCUUGACACUGAACAUUGAGCCUUGAUGUGUAGGAUAGGUGGGAGGCUUUGAAGUGUGGACGCCAGUCUGCAUGGAGCCGACCUUGAAAUACCACCCUUUAAUGUUUGAUGUUCUAACGUGGACCCGUAAUCCGGGUUGCGGACAGUGUCUGGUGGGUAGUUUGACUGGGGCGGUCUCCUCCUAAAGAGUAACGGAGGAGCACGAAGGUUGGCUAAUCCUGGUCGGACAUCAGGAGGUUAGUGCAAUGGCAUAAGCCAGCUUGACUGCGAGCGUGACGGCGCGAGCAGGUGCGAAAGCAGGUCAUAGUGAUCCGGUGGUUCUGAAUGGAAGGGCCAUCGCUCAACGGAUAAAAGGUACUCCGGGGAUAACAGGCUGAUACCGCCCAAGAGUUCAUAUCGACGGCGGUGUUUGGCACCUCGAUGUCGGCUCAUCACAUCCUGGGGCUGAAGUAGGUCCCAAGGGUAUGGCUGUUCGCCAUUUAAAGUGGUACGCGAGCUGGGUUUAGAACGUCGUGAGACAGUUCGGUCCCUAUCUGCCGUGGGCGCUGGAGAACUGAGGGGGGCUGCUCCUAGUACGAGAGGACCGGAGUGGACGCAUCACUGGUGUUCGGGUUGUCAUGCCAAUGGCACUGCCCGGUAGCUAAAUGCGGAAGAGAUAAGUGCUGAAAGCAUCUAAGCACGAAACUUGCCCCGAGAUGAGUUCUCCCUGAGACUU
rnacentral:rRNA from 1 species